GGGGACUUCAGCGACCUGGAACGUCCUGUUCCCUGCAGCCCGCCGUGCACAUGGCACCUGGCGCCGCACAGCUACAGCCCCGCACCCCCGGGCGUUCACACUGAGCGACCCGCUCCUGCAGCUUCCCCCAGCCACACGGGAUCACAGCAAAGGAGAGUUUUGAGGAGAGCUUUGAAGGAUGCUUCGAACCUCCGGGACACUCAGUUAAGAGCAUCAAAGGACCGGGAUUUUUGACUGCUAGGGGUGAAGUGACCUCUUAGAGGGAACAAGGAUAAAAACCUUGCGUCUUUGAUCUCCGGAGCUCUGAGAAAAUGGAGAGCCUUAGAGGCCCCUAUAUAGGUAAGACCUGUUUUAAAAUAAAUUUACAUAAUUAAUUAGCCA
rnacentral:lncRNA from 1 species